rnacentral:rRNA from 1 species
ACAGGUGCUGCAUGGCUGUCGUCAGCUCGUGUUGUGAAAUGUUGGGUUAAGUCCCGCAACGAGCGCAACCCUUAUCCUUUGUUGCCAGCGGUCCGGCCGGGAACUCAAAGGAGACUGCCAGUGAUAAACUGGAGGAAGGUGGGGAUGACGUCAAGUCAUCAUGGCCCUUACGACCAGGGCUACACACGUGCUACAAUGGCAUAUACAAAGAGAAGCGACCUCGCGAGAGCAAGCGGACCUCAUAAAGUAUGUCGUAGUCCGGAUUGGAGUCUGCAACUCGACUCCAUGAAGUCGGAAUCGCUAGUAAUCGUGGAUCAGAAUGCCACGGUGAAUACGUUCCCGGGCCUUGUACACACCGCCCGUCACACCAUGGGAGUGGGUUGCAAAAGAAGUAGGUAGCUUAACCUUCGGGAGGGCGCUUACCACUUUGUGAUUCAUGACUGGGGUGAAGUCGUAACAAGGUAACCGUAGGGGAACCUGC